CCUACGGGAGGCAGCAGUAGGGAAUCUUUCACAAUGGGCGAAAGCCUGAUGGAGCAACGCCGCGUGCAGGAUGAAGGCCUUCGGGUUGUAAACUGCUUUUAUAAGCGAGAAAUAUGAUGGUAACUUAUGAAUAAGGAUCGUCUAACUACGUGCCAGCAGCCGCGGUCAUACGUAGGAUCCGAGCAUUAUCCGGAGUGACUGGGUGUAAAGAGUUGCGUAGGUGGCAUAAUAAGUAGCUAGUGAAAUCUGGUGGCUCAACCAUUCAGACUAUUAGCUAAACUGUUCAGCUCGAGACAGUUAGGGGUAACUGGAAUUACUAGUGUAGGAGUGAAAUCCGUAGAUAUUAGAAGGAACACCAAUAGCGUAGGAAGGUUGCUGGGACGGUUCUGACACUAAGGCACGAAAGCGUAGGGAGCAAACGGGAUUAGAUACCCCGGUAGU
rnacentral:rRNA from 1 species